CCCCCCCCCCGCCGGCGCCUGCAGGCCCCUUUUCGAAAGGACUUCGAAGGCUCCACGUACUUCCUUGCCAUCUCAGGCAAAAGAGAAGGAAAGUCCACCUGAAGGUAAGGCCUUUUUCCAUGUAUAUGUUCAGUGUAUAUAAGAAAGUCUCUCUAAAGCCUUCUCUUCUUUUCCUUUCAGAUGAUCUGAUCAUCGAAGACCUCGAGGAAGAGUAGGUUCGCCAGAAGCGGCUUAGUCCUGCUGGCCACAUGACCCGGAAGUUGUACGCUGGCUCCCUCGGCCAAUAAAGCGAGAUGAGCGUCGCAACCCCAGAGUCGUCCACGACUGGACCUAAUGGUCAGGGGUCCCUUUACCUUUACCUAAAAUAAGAGAACUACAUGCUUUCCAAUUUACAUACCUUCCUGAUUAGCAGGAACAACAUCUUGCUUGACUGAGGUGGGUAAACAAACAGCUCUUCACAAACCUGGUUUUAAGAAAUGCCAUUUGGAAGGAUGAGCUCCUGAUUGUUCCUUUGCAAGUGGAACUCCCUUUCAGUGCUGUAGAGUUCCUCAGGAAUUUCCCCAUGGGAACUACCCAGGGCAUCGGGGAGGGGUUUGUUUGUUUGUUUGUUUGUUUGUUUGUUUGUUUUUUGAAGCACUGAAACUGCUUGUGAAAGCAAGAGGGGGAACUCUGAUCAUCAGCUGAAGGGCAUUAUACAAAUUUAAUAAAUAAUAAUAAUAAAAUAAUGCUUUCAAUGGAAA